rnacentral:rRNA from 1 species
CACGUACGGGGCGAGCGUUGUUCGGAAUUAUUGGGCGUAAAGGGCAUGCAGGCGGUUUGACAAGUCUGACGUGAAAGACCACAGCUUAACUGGGGGAACGCGUUGGAAACUGUCAGACUAGAGUUCUGGAGGGGUAGCUGGAAUUCCAGGUGUAGGGGUGAAAUCUGUAGGUAUCUGGAAGAACAUCAAUGGCGAAGGCAAGCUACUGGCCAAGGACUGACGCUGAGAUGCGAAAGUAUGGGGAGCAAACAGG